GUAGCAACUAAGAAUACUAGGCAUUGCUUUCCGUUAACCAGUGAGACAGUGGGGGAUAAGCUCCAUUGUCGAGAGGGAAACAGCCCAGAUCACCAGCUAAGGCCCCAAAAUGACCGCUAAGUGGUAAAGGAGGUGAGAAUGCUGAAACAACCAGGAGGUUUGCUUAGAAGCAGCCACCCUUUAAAGAGUGCGUAAUAGCUCACUGGUGGAGCGUUCUUGCGCCGAAAAUGAACGGGACUAAGCGGUCUGCCGAAGCUGUGGGUAACAUCAAAAAACAAAGAAAAGACCUAACAUUUAACAUCUUCGAAAAAGAUUUGUCAACACCGCUUCGCGGUGUAGGCACAAGAAGCGAUGUCAAAUCAGACAUCAGUGACUUACACCCCUACGGGGUGUUUGUUAGCCCUUUUAGGGUUUGCUUCGCACAAAGAAGAUGUUAGAAUAACAAACUUUCAGUUUGUUAGAUGUCAGACAUCUUUCAAAAUUGUAUAUGUUGAAAAGUUCAAUUUGAUGUUACGGUAGGGGAGCGUUCCGCUCUAGGGUGAAGCUCCAACGUAAGUUGGUGUGGACAAAGCGGAAGUGAGAAUGUCGGCUUGAGUAACGAAAACAUUGGUGAGAAUCCAAUGCCCCGAAAACCUAAGGCUUCCUCCACUAGGCUCGUCCAUGGGGGGUUAGUCGGGACCUAAGGCCAGGCCGAAAGGCGUAGUCGAUGGAAAACAGGUUAAUAUUCCUGUACUUCUUUUUAAGUGGUACCGAGGGACGAAGGAGGGAACGGUUGGUCAAUAUUGGAUGUUGACGGAAAUGUUCAAGGUGAUGAGAGAUAGAAUAAAAACUAUUCUUGAGCUGAGACAUGAUACGAUUUUAUUCCCUGUAAGAGAGCUUGCUCAAAUUCAAAGAAAAAUUCAAUUAGUUGUCAAACUUCCUAGAAAAGCUCGAACUUCCAAUACUUAAAAAUAACCCGUACCCGAAACCGACACAGGUAGGUAGGUAGAGUAUACCAAGGGGCGCGA
rnacentral:rRNA from 1 species